GAUGAACGCUGGCGGCGUGCUUAACACAUGCAAGUCGAACGGAAGGGCUCCUGCUUGCAGGGGUACUCGAGUGGCGAACGGGUGAGUAACACGUGGGUGAUCUGCCCUGCACUUCGGGAUAAGCUUGGGAAACUGGGUCUAAUACCGGAUAGGACCGCAUUUUGGAUGGUGUGGUGGAAAGUUUUUUCGGUUUGGGAUGAGCUCGCGGCCUAUCAGCUUGUUGGUGGGGUAAUGGCCUACCAAGGCGUCGACGGGUAGCCGGCCUGAGAGGGUGUACGGCCACAUUGGGACUGAGAUACGGCCCGGACUCCUACGGGAGGCAGCAGUGGGGAAUAUUGCACAAUGGGCGCAAGCCUGAUGCAGCGACGCCGCGUGGGGGAUGACGGCCUUCGGGUUGUAAACUCCUUUCGCUAGGGACGAAGAGUAAUUGACGGUACCUGGAGAAGAAGCACCGGCUAACUACGUG
rnacentral:rRNA from 1 species